rnacentral:rRNA from 1 species
UACAGAGGUCUCAAGCGUUGUUCGGAUUCAUUGGGCGUAAAGCGCACGUAGGCGGUCUGUUAUGUCGGAUGUGAAAGCCCUCGGCUCAACUGAGGAAGUGCAUCCGAAACUGGCAGGCUAGAGUACCAAAGAGGGUCGCGGAAUUCCCGGUGUAGAGGUGAAAUUCGUAGAUAUCGGGAGGAACACCGGUGGCGAAGGCGGCGACCUGGGUGGAUACUGACGCUGAGGUGCGAAAGCGUGGGGAGCAAAUAGG